rnacentral:rRNA from 1 species
GACGAACGCUGGCGGCAUGCUUAACACAUGCAAGUCGUACGGUAAGGCCCUUUCGGGGGUACACGAGUGGCGAACGGGUGAGUAACACGUGGGUAACCUGCCCACAACUUUGGGAUAACGUUAGGAAACUGGUGCAAAUACUGGAUAUGUGCUUCUGCUGCAUGGUUGGGGUUGGAAAGCUUCGGCGGUUGUGGUUGGACUCGCGGCCUAUCAGCUUGUUGAUGGGGUAGUGGCCUACCAAGGCGGCGACGGGUAGCCGGCCUGAGAGGGUGACACCCCACAUUGGGCCUGGGCUACUGCACAGACUCCAACGGAAUGAAGAAAUGGAGCAUAUUGCGCAAUAGGCGUCAGCCUGUUGCAGCAACACGUCGUGGGGGAAGACGGCCUUCUCGUUGAAACCCGCUUUCAACAGGGUCGAAGCAUUUUGUGACGAUACCUGCAGAAGAAGCACCAGCUAACUACGUG